AAAAAUUAAAAUAAAAAUAAAAAUAAAAAUAAAAAAGCAAUCCCAAACGGAGCCUAACUCAAAUGAUUUUUGGGUUUGAACAGAAAAAACUAUUUUCCUAAUUUAUGAGAAAAUUAAAAGAGAGGGAAAAACAGCAUCCACUAGUGCAAUAUGUCACACGUACAUGUAAGGUAUACACAAUGGAGAUUUACACUAACACCCCUUGAGAUUUUUGACUUUUUCACAAAACUCGGAGGUUUUAGAAAUUACACGAACACUUCCCUGAGAUUUUAAAUUGUUUUCACAAAACUCUUUUUCAUUGAUUUUUCAUCCAAAGAUUGAUGAUUUUAUACCAAAAAAUUUAUCCGAAUGACAAAGUUUGCCUUUGAGAUUAGAUUGCAUAUACUUCAUUGAGUUUAAUUUUGUCAUUUGCAUAAGUUUUUUUUUUUUUCAAUAAAAUCAUUAAUUUUUGGACAAACAAUCAAUGAAAAUGGAUUUUGUGAAAACAAACUGAAACCUCAAGAGCGUUUUCAUGUAAUUUUUGAGACCCGAAGGGGUUUGUGAAAACACAAGAAAUCUCAGGGGAUGUUAGUGUAAAUAACUCAUAAAUAAAUGAAGAAAUAAAACUUACAAACGAUGAACAUGUAGUUUGCGCAAACUUAACCUUCUUCAGCUCUAUACACCUCAUCGAGGAAAGUAGUCACAAACAACUCACUGCAAUGACACACUAUAAGCAUGGUGAAAAUAUGCACAGUAAAUGUCCCUCGAAGUGGUACAAUUUCAAAGGUAAAUCAUGCUUAGCCCAUUUAAUUCGAUGCCGUGCACCCAAUAUCACCAAAAUGAACGCCCUUGCCGCAUGUACUACACUUCCAGUGGAUUUACAUCUAUAACACUCUGUAAUUCAUCUAUGUGAGUCCACUCUAUCAAUUACAUCCAAUGCUUUUUCCUUAUCAAUACCGAAAUCAAUGACAGGAACCCCAGAGGAGAGCCUACUGAACGGUAACAAUUUCCUGCUUCCUCGCCUAGGUGAGUAGCUGUUACUCUUACUCAAUCUGUUGUGCUCCGUCAAACUAGAGUUCACAGUGUCAAAGUCCUGACUCUUACUAAUUCCUGGAAUCCGUCUUCUUUUACUGACAUCCUGCAGCAUCUCCUGAUCUUCAGUUGUUAGCACACUUGACUGAACAUUGAUAGGCAAGUCCUUGGGCUGCUUAUUUGCCAACGGGAGGGGUGUGCCAGCUGUGGACUUGACAGGUGACCUCAUGUCCCCAUUAUUGGCGGCAGACUUACUUUUACAAGCCAAAUGGUGAAGCCACAAGACUAGUUUGAGUAUACAGACUUCUGUUUUCUCCUUAUUUGCAUGGUGGAAUGUCUCAAUUCGAAUCACAUCAGUCUGCAAAGCUGCCUUUCGGUUCGCCCCAGAACUGCAUAACCGAAAAUAUGGUUAACUAAAAGAACAGUAAAAACCAUCAAAAACCCCAAAAGAAACAAGAAAGGAAUAAAGGACAAAUGAUGAAAGUCAAAGUAAGAAACAAGCAGUAUAUUGUUACUCACCCACUACUCGCCCACUCUCCUACCCAGCCAAAACCAUGAUGAGCUCUGUUAUUAGUUUUUGCAACCAAAUCAACAAAAUGAUGAUCAAUAACAAAGAAAGUUGUAAACUACAGCUGCAAAAGAGUUUCACAAACACAAAAAGAUACAGGUGUUUUGCAGAACAGCUGGCCAUCUUACUUGGCUGUGUUUGUAGCAACUGGAACAAGCCAGUGUAAAGUUUUCUCCAUUUCAGCUUUGAUUUCUGCAAUAGUGAGCUGCAGAAAACAAUUUAGUCGAACAGUUUAGUGGAUACAAAUUCUCUUCAAAGAAUGUUUUGCCACAAAACCCAAAGUACACAGCCUGUCCGCAACAAUCAAAAGU
rnacentral:lncRNA from 1 species